UACACGACCGUACCGCAAACCGACACUGGUGCGCGAGAUGAGUAUUCUAAGGCGCUUGAGAGAACUCAGGAGAAGGAACUCGGCAAAUUGACACCGUAACUUCGGAAGAAGGUGUGCCUUUAGUAGGUGAAGUCCCUCGCGGAUGGAGCCCAAUGAGGUUGCAAAAAAUCGGUGGCUGCGACUGUUUAUUAAAAACACAGCACUCUGCAAACACGAAAGUGGACGUAUAGGGUGUGACGCCUGCCCGGUGCUGGAAGAUUAAAUGAUGGGGUGCAAGCUCUUGAUUGAAGUCCCAGUAAACGGCGGCCGUAACGAUAACGGUCCUAAGGUAGCGAAAUUCCUUGUCGGGUAAGUUCCGACCUGCACGAAUGGCGUAACGAUGGCCACACUGUCUCCUCCUGAGACUCAGCGAAGUUGAAAUGUUUGUGAUGAUGCAAUCUCCCCGCGGAAAGACGGAAAGACCCCAUGAACCUUUACUGUAGCUUUGUAUUGGACUUUGAACAGAUCUGUGUAGGAUAGGUGGGAGGCUUUGAAGCAGGGUCGCUAUCUUGUGGAGCCAACGUUGAAAUACCACCCUGGUGUGUUUGAGGUUCUAACCUAGGCCCGUAAUCCGGGUUGGGGACAGUGCAUGGUAGGCAGUUUGACUGGGGCGGUCUCCUCCCAAAGUGUAACGGAGGAGUUCGAAGGUACGCUAGUUACGGUCGGACAUCGUGACGAUAGUGCAAUGGCAUAAGCGUGCUUAACUGCGAGACUGACAAGUCGAGCAGAUGCGAAAGCAGGACAUAGUGAUCCGGUGGUUCUGUAUGGAAGGGCCAUCGCUCAACGGAUAAAAGGUACUCUGGGGAUAACAGGCUGAUACCGCCCAAGAGUUCAUAUCGACGGCGGUGUUUGGCACCUCGAUGUCGGCUCAUCUCAUCCUGGGGCUGUAGCCGGUCCCAAGGGUAUGGCUGUUCGCCAUUUAAAGAGGUACGUGAGCUGGGUUUAAAACGUCGUGAGACAGUUUGGUCCCUAUCUUCCGUGGGCGCUGCAGAUUUGAGGAAGCCUGCUCCUAGUACGAGAGGACCGGAGUGGACGCACCUCUGGUGUAUCGGUUGUCACGCCAGUGGCAUUGCCGAGUAGCUAUGUGCGGAAGAGAUAACCGCUGAAAGCAUCUAAGCGGGAAACUCGUUUCAAGAUGAGAUCUGCCGGGGCCUUGAGCCCCCUGAAGAGUCGUUCAAGACCAGGACGUUGAUAGGUCGGGUGUGGAAGCGCAGUAAUGCGUUAAGCUAACCGAUACUAAUUGCUCGUGCGGCUUGACCAA
rnacentral:rRNA from 1 species